CUGGGAUGUGACACUGGUGACCAGGGUGUGAACGGGGAAGGACACAUUCCAAGCAUACCUCUGUGGUUCGCCGGCUGCACACCUAAGGGCUGUUGUAAAAGCCCGGGUCAAUCACUGCAGGAGCCGCCACGUCGGCGCCGCAAUCCUUGUGUUUCUGUGAAGAGGGUGAUUUCAACUGGAUGCAUGCAGAGAAGACCACUGAGCAAUGAAAAAGAGCUGGCAGCAACCCAGAGUCUCUACUUAAUUCAAAAUCUAAAAGAUUCAAUUGUGUGGGAAUGAAAAUGAAGACAAAUGUUAGUGUCUCCUGGUUUAUUUCUAAAUUGGAUGAAAAGGAAAAGGUAAUAUUAGCAAAGGCAUUGAAUGAAAAGAAGUCGGGAAGGCUGUAAACAAGGAAGAUCACUAACAACCUGGUUCGGAAACUGCAUUGGCGGCAACAAAGAAGAGAGGGAGGUCAUGUGCCCUGGGUCGCUUCCCUUCCUUUCUCAGCUGGUACAUAAGGGGCCCCAGCAGCAGGGGGCGCCAGACUCCCUCUGUCUCCUGAGUCCUCUCUCCGCUCCUCGCCUCGCCUGAGUCCUCUCUACUGACACCAUGGGGUGCUGUGGCUGUGGGGGUUGUGGUGGCUGCAGCGGUGGCUGUGGCAGCUGUGGCAGCUGUGGCGACUGUGGCGGCUGCGGU
rnacentral:lncRNA from 1 species